GACGAACGCUGGCGGCGUGCUUAACACAUGCAAGUCGAACGGUGACGCACCUUCGGGUGCUGAUCAGUGGCGAACGGGAGAGUAACACGUGGGCAACAUGCCCCUGACUCUGGGAUAACUCCUAGAAAGAGGUGCUAAUACCGGAUAUCACCUCCCUCGGCACCGGGGGAGGUCGAAAGUUAUUCGGGCAGGGAUGGGACCGCGGCCUAUCAGCUAGUUGGUGGGGUAAUGGCCCACCAAGGCGACGACGGGUAGCCGGCCUGAGAGGGCGACCGGCCACACUGGGACUGAGACACGGCCCAGACUCCUACGGGAGGCAGCAGUGGGGAAUAUUGCGCGAUAGGCGAAAGCCUGACGCAGCAACGCCGCGUGAGGGAUGACGGCCUUCGGGUUGUAAACCUCUUUCAGCGGGGACGAAGCGAAAGUGACUGUACCCGCAGAAGAAGCGCCGGCUAACUACGUGCCAGCAGCCGCCGUAAUAC
rnacentral:rRNA from 1 species